UACGUAGGGCGCAAGCGUUAUCCGGAAUUAUUGGGCGUAAAGAGCUCGUAGGCGGUUUGUCGCGUCUGCCGUGAAAGUCCGGGGCUCAACUCCGGAUCUGCGGUGGGUACGGGCAGACUAGAGUGAUGUAGGGGAGACUGGAAUUCCUGGUGUAGCGGUGAAAUGCGCAGAUAUCAGGAGGAACACCGAUGGCGAAGGCAGGUCUCUGGGCAUUACUGACGCUGAGGAGCGAAAGCAUGGGGAGCGAACAGG
rnacentral:rRNA from 1 species